GAUGAACGCUGGCGGCGUGCCUAAUACAUGCAAGUCGAGCGAACAGACGAGGAGCUUGCUCCUCUGACGUUAGCGGCGGACGGGUGAGUAACACGUGGAUAACCUACCUAUAAGACUGGGAUAACUUCGGGAAACCGGAGCUAAUACCGGAUAAUAUAUUGAACCGCAUGGUUCAAUAGUGAAAGACGGUUUUGCUGUCACUUAUAGAUGGAUCCGCGCCGCAUUAGCUAGUUGGUAAGGUAACGGCUUACCAAGGCAACGAUGCGUAGCCGACCUGAGAGGGGGUUCGGCCACCCGGGAACUGAGACGGGGCCCGAACCCCAAGGGGGGGCAGCAGGAGGAAAUCUGCCGCAAGGGGGGAAACCCUGACGGGGCAACCCCGGCGGAGUAAGGAAGGUUUUGGGAUCGUAAAACUCUGUUUUUAGGAAAAAAAAAAUGUGUAAAAAACUAUGCACGUUUGAAGGGAACCAAAGCAAAAAGCCCCGGCUACUUAGGG
rnacentral:rRNA from 1 species